rnacentral:rRNA from 1 species
UACGUAGGGGGCAAGCGUUGUCCGGAAUCAUUGGGCGUAAAGCGCGUGUAGGCGGCUCGGUAAGUCCGCUCUGAAAGUCCAGGGCUCAACCCUGGGAUGCGGGUGGAUACUGCCGGGCUCGAGUCCGGAAGAGGCGAGUGGAAUUCCCGGUGUAGCGGUGAAAUGCGCAGAUAUCAGGAGGAACACCGGUGGUGUAGACGGCUUUCUGGACCGUAACUGACGCUGAGACACGAAAGCGUGGGUAGCAAACAGG